ACGGAGCCUCCCGGAUGGAACGAUGGAACCACGGAGGGGCCGGGCCAGCAGCAGGCGCGCACGCUGAUUGGCCGCCCUCGGACACCAAAGGGCUACCCUUCUACUAUUUUGGCUCAAAGCAAGACCCAGAGGAAACCACUCCAGUGUAAAACCACUGAUCUAAAACAAAUGAUGCCAGCUUCACAUCAGAUCUGAAUUGGGCUACUAAGUCUCAGAUCCUCAGAGAGGACAAGUUCUGCAUUCGGUUACAGUGAGUCCAGUUCUGUUGCCUUAAUUUUCAGUGCUGCAAUCAAGAGCAGAAUUUGGCCUUUGCUUCUUGCACUCUGAUAUAUCCUUUGUUCCUAGCUUGCCUUGGAGCCUUUCAACAGCAUCCCUGGCAAUUGAAAAAACCAUGAACAGAAUAAACCAGAUGUACUUUCAUAGGAAAGUGCAGCAGCAUGAACACACAGGCUGGUGACUUGUAAUUCUGCUCUGCCUGUGGGUAUCCUUGAGAGCACUGUAUUUACUAGGAAGUAGUGUGGAACUCUGUGGAAAGAGUAUAACUGCAAAAUUAGCGUGACUGGUGGCCAGUACACAUUUUAUAGUUCAAACAGGCUAUGAAUAAAAAAGUCCUCAUCAUUUAUCAUUAAUUUUUAUAUAUAGACUAUCUUAAGGGUUGUAAAUUAAGAAGUUUUUUGGUUUUGGUUUUUUUAAUGGACCAUAUUCUGAGACCCUCAAAAUAGGAAAAGGCUGUAAACUCAGAUUUAAAUUGAGGAAAAUGCCCAUUGCUUUAAGUAGCCUAUGCUUCCAUACUACAUUGUAAAGCUCAUGGUACAAGUUUUAAAUCUACGUAGCAUCAAUAUUUUACAAAUGGUAUAAAUAUAAACUUAAAACAGUUUAUAUUUGCGUGACUGUUGUGCCUUACAUGAAAUACAUGAAAGCAUUCUUAAUGAAAAAUUUGAUAUAGAAACUCACCCUUUUUACUUUACACAUUUCACAGCAUGUUGCAUUUCUAGCUCUAGUCUUUACCUAGCAUAAUACUCUUUUGUAUAGGAAUCCUAUCCAACAAAAAGGGAAAAAAUAAUAGCGAUCAGAAGAAGUUAGCAGAUGCUCUCAAGUGGCACCUAAACUACUUUUAAAAUUAUUUGUUUAAAGAUUUGCUGGUUUUCAACUUGACUUUAAAGCCUAAGGUCUUUUUGUUUUGUUUUGUUGCUGAGUUUGACAAGAAACAAAUAUAAUAAACAAACCUUAAUAAGGUCAAUUGUGUUGGAAACGAGUCAAGUCUGGACUGCUUGUUGUCCUGACAACCUUCUGAUAAAUGUGCUGAUGUGCUAAUAAAUACUGAAGCUAACAUUUAAGUUAACUCCAUAAAGAUUUUCAGUUCAGUCAAAUGGUACCUUAUAUUCUUUCAGUUAUUUUUUUUUUAUGUCUCUCUCAUUUUGGCUUGUUCUACAGCAUGAACAACAUGGGUUUUCUAUACUCAGAAGCAAAAGUACAAAUGAGAGUGGUAAAAUCAAUGAUUUUAUAUUCCCACUUCAUCCCCGUGGCUAUGAUGAUGCAGCUGCUGGAAGAUUUCUCAUUUCCAUCAGCAUUUGUAAAAAUGCCCAUAAGAUUGUUUACUGCAAGUAUGACCUAAAAAAACAAGCUGAAUAUGUGCCGUUUGUCCGAAUUGAGCUGUAUGUUCUCCAUGUGGUUGGGAUUUUUCUCAGUUUUAAUUUUGGGUGGCAGUAUACGCUGUACAUAAGGGCUAGAUUCUCAGCUGUUAUGCAUUAAAAUAAAUGCACACUUUUACCACA